AAACAUCGCUUCUUGACAAAUAUAAGAGGUCCAGCCUGCCCAGUGACCCUGUUUAACGGCCGCGGUAUCCUAACCGUGCGAAGGUAGCGUAAUCACUUGUUCUUUAAAUGAGGACUAGUAUGAACGGCAUCACGAAGGUUAUACUGUCUUCCUUUUCUAAUCAGUGAAACUAAUCUCCCCGUGAAGAAGCGGGGAUGAUAUUAUAAGACGAGAAGACCCUAUGGAGCUUUAAACUAAAUAACACCUGCUCUUUUGUACCCCAUUUCAGAAUGAUUAACAAUUAUCCUAGCUUUUUGAUUAUUAGUUUUAGGUUGGGGUGACCACGGAGAAAAGAAUAUCCUCCAUAUUGAAAGGAUUUAAUUCCUGAGCUGCGAAUUACAAUUCAACGCACCAAUAAAUUGACAUCAAUUGACCCAAUAUUUUGAUCAAUGAACCAAGUUACCCUAGGGAUAACAGCGCAAUCUGCUCAAGAGCCCCUAUCGACAAGCAGGUUUACGACCUCGAUGUUGGAUCAGGGUAUCCCAGUGGUGCAGCCG
rnacentral:rRNA from 1 species